rnacentral:lncRNA from 1 species
UCACAUUGGUUUGGGUCAUCCAGGAUUCGUCCACCAUCAUAGGAUUAUUGAUGAGAGAAAAGCGCAAGUCAAAUACAAUCAGCUAUGCAAAAGUAUGCGAGAAUGUGAGAUGAACAUUGGGAAAUAUAGGGAGCUCAUGAGAAGCUGAUCAACAAGUUGAAGGAUAUGGCAAUCAAAGCCAACAAUCGGCUGGGAUAUCUAGAGCGAGGUAUUGUAGAGUUAGAAGGAAAGUUCUUGAAGAGAAUCGAAGAUUGCAAGAAUGAUGAGGGAAGUGCAGGCAGACAUCUGGCCCAAGCCUAACUGUUGUUAUGACUGCACGAGUUGAUCCAGCUAUACGAGGGAGGCAGAAGUGCUGAAUCUGGGGAAGGUCCUUCUACAACCAAGUAGUUAGGAUCCUUUAUUUUUUGCUUUCAUAAUGUAAUAAGGCCACUGGCC